UCAAGUUCCUCGCGCACGAUACAACCAUAGUUUCAUCGGUGGCCUCAGCCCGCCGGCUGGCCCAUCGACAUCCUCCAUUGCCGCAGUCCUGCUGCCCCAUGCACGCUCCAGCAACAAGCAGCCUGCAAGAUCCCUAACGCAAACAGCCCUGCAUCCUCUCUCCUGCUAUGGUUGAACCUCCAAUUGUCAUCCAUCAUGUUUUCCUAUGGUGUGGUUAGGUUGAGGUACGUAUUCUUCUCAAUUUCUAUGCGAGCAGCAUCCUCCAGUCCCCAACGAACAUGGUAAUCCCCUCGCUGACUUUCGAUCGUACUUCGCUGGGAGGGAGAGACAUCCUCCUCCCACACGGGGCCAAACAAUCGGACGCGCCUGGACGGAGAAGCUCGGCGAUGCACAACCUGCGGAGCUGCCGCCACAGAGCGCCCUAGCCGUCUGCCCUCAGCCGUCAUGUGGCGGUGUUACAGGGUUGCGUGCAUCAUGCAUCUUCAUAUUAUCUCUUAGGCGGUGGCCAUAGACGAUGCCACAAUGUUGCAGAUCUUCCCAACCUACAGUUACAUGAGGGGCGUGGCAAGUUAUGAUCUCUUAGGCAGUGGCCACAGACAAGGCCACAACGUUGUACAUCUUCCCAAGCUACAAUUACAUGAGCAGCAUGGUGACCAGUGAUUGCCAAGCUGCAAGAAACGGACCUUGCACAUAGCAUAUAUGAUGCAUGCCUUCCCAAGCUGUAAGACUGGAGCGUCACUGGCCCAUGGCAUCUACCAAAGACGAACUGGCAUAUACCUCUGGUAUGUCCUCAUCGCAUGCUUGAAUUUUCGAUUACCAGUACGUGGCUUGAACACCAUGUACAUUUGGACGGGCGAGGAGACGCACUUAUCGUUCGCCAUCCAAAUAGCUGCUAAAAGGAUUGUAGGUAGCAAAAGCUCUAUCAUCGAUUCCAUAGGCACCAUAGGAUUAUGAAUGAUGUAAACAUCUGGGAAGCAUGAGCAUCCCAUCUGCAUGCAUCCAUGUUAGGAAACUUAUUAUGGAUAUGCAAGUCUGAUCCCUACACAAUUUAGAAACAUUAUAACCGAGCACUUUUCCAGCCCUCUAAGACCAUUGUCGUGUUUGACCGUCGAAUCUGCUCUUCUAAGCGUUUCAGGCCGUUGGAUGUGAGUACAAUCCCCUAUGGGCUUCUGUUGCGAACAGAGAGAGCUAGACGGGCUGGGACGCUGCUCCCGGAACAAAAUUGGAGCUCUACUAUUGUUUGGGCAUAUGGGCCUGACGUCCACGAGUAACAAAGCCCGUGAAAAAAUACAGCUUACCCACCCUUCCGGAGCGAGCAAGGAUCCCAGUGGGCGUUAUCCAGUUCUUGUCUCGCGGAUGGCGGAUCCAUACGAUGCGAGUGACCGCACCUCCACCGACGACAUGGUCGCCUCACUGGGCGACGCCAAGGGGGCGGGGGCCCGAAGUGUCGGCUGCGAUUAGAAUCCACUCGCUGUUGAUUUAGCACGUAGUCAAUCGCAGUUGCUGCGGGCAGUAAUCGCAAUUGAUGUGCGCCACUCGCCGGCAUCCGAUUAUUGUAGGUCGCUUAUGAUUCUUAUUCAGUUACUUUCUUUAUGUGAUUCAUCUUCAUCCUUUAUUAGAUGCGCGAGGACGCUCACGAUUCUAGUUCGGUUUCUUCCUUUAUUCGUUUCAUCUUCUUCCUUUAAUCGUUGCGCGUCUAUAUAAUCUCCACCCUGCUACUGCUCAUUCCCCAACCUUACUCGGCAACGUCACAUCUUCUGGACAUGCUUCUCGCAGGUUGCCACUACAGGUGCUCUCACAUCUCAGUGGAUGUAUUUGAACUACCGAUGGGUUCUGGUGGUUAGUUCGGGCACUUCUAAAGCUUGCGAUUUGCAAUGGUUGCCACCCAGGGCAUUGCGGUCCACCGUGCACUGGCCUCUUCAUCAUGUUUGAGGGUGCGAUCAGAUCUCCAACAAAUUAGUAUACUCUCCAUAUACUACUGAUGCCCGUGGUUGGGCGACUUAAAAAAAUGUGAAACUGCACUCCUGUACUCUAGCGUCUUCCUCUAUACUUA